GACUGUUGUUCUUCGGGACAACAGUUAGUGGCGAACGGGUGAGUAACGCGUGGGUAACCUGGCCCUUGGUAUCGGGGAAUAACUUGGCCGAAAGGUGAGCUAAUACCGGAAUUCUCUAUUGGAGAUUGGCAUGGAUCUUAAUAGAAAAGGUGGCCUCUGAAUAUGCUACCGUAUAAGGGAUGGACCCGCGUCUGAUUAGCUAGUUGGUGAGGUAACGGCUCACCAAGGCGACGAUCAGUAGCCGGCCUGAGGGGGUGAACGGCCACACUGGGACUGAAGACACGGCCCAGACUCCUACGGGAAGCAGCAGUGGGGAAUCUUCCGCAAUGGGACGAAAGUUUGACGGAAGCAACGCCGCGUGAGUGAAGAAGGUCUUCGGAUUGUAAAACUCUGUUUUUCGGGAAGAACGGCUCAUAUGUGAAUAAUGUAUGGGAUUGACGGUACCAAAGGAGGAAGCCCCGGCUAACUACUGCCACG
rnacentral:rRNA from 1 species